UACGAAGGGGGCUAGCGUUGCUCGGAAUUACUGGGCGUAAAGGGCGCGUAGGCGGCACUGUUAGUCAGGCGUGAAAGUCCUGGGCUCAACCUGGGAACUGCGCUUGAUACGGCAGAGCUAGAGGAUGGAAGAGGCUCGCGGAAUUCCCAGUGUAGAGGUGAAAUUCGUAGAUAUCGGGAGGAACACCAGUGGCGAAGGCGGCUCUCUGGGCAGAUACUGACGCUGAGACGCGAAAGCAUGGGGAGCAACAGG
rnacentral:rRNA from 1 species